rnacentral:rRNA from 1 species
AACCAGGAUUAGAUACCCCAGUAUACUUAUUCUUAAGUUUUAAAGACUGGAUUAUUAGUAGUUAUAUUCUUGAAAUUCAAAGAAUUUGGCGGUAUCUUAAUCUUAUUAGAGGAACCUGUUUUAUAAACGAUAAACCACGAAGAAUCUUAUUUGUUUUAAAUAGUUUGUAUACCGUCAUUAUUAGAUAAUUUUGAGAAAAUCAAUUAUUGAAAUUAAAGUGAAUAAUUUUAAAUAUAUUAGAUCAAGGUGCAGCUUAUAGACAAGGAGAAAUGGGUUACAAUAGACUAGUUUAGACGGAAGUUACUCUUAUAAUGGGUUUCUGAAGGCGGAUUUAAUUGUAUAUUUAAGUUUAAUAA